UGGUUUGACUCGCCUCGCAAGACAAGCGUGUGUCUGAUUUGAACGUUACCUAAUCACGACUCUAUUAGACCUCCCGGUAUACCAAUGACAAAGAGGCUCGUUUCGUAGUGGGAAAGACAAAUGACAACGACCAAUGAGAGAGGGUCUCUCUCAACCUUCUGCUUCUUCCACCUCUCUCUCUCUCUCUCUCUCUCUCUCUCUCUCUCUCUUCGUGGUCGUGAUAGGUAUACUGGAGUUUGUUUGUAGCUCAUGAUGGCUAGGUGGAGGUGGAGGUGGUUCGUAGCCCGUGAGAUGUAUAAUGGAUGGCCUUACCGGAUCGUCCAUUCCUACUGCAUACUACACCAAAUCAUGACAGAAUUUUGCUUCGACUCAAUUCUGCUCCAAUUCUGAUUUUUUGCUUCAAUUCUUCAAAGGCUUCUGAAAUCACGACUCUAUAACUCUAAUGGAAGGCUAAUACACGAUUGUGAACCCGAUUUCAUUAUCAAUUCACUCUGAUUUCACAGAUUUGGAGUUUGAUUUCAUUAGCCCAAUCUUUGUCACUUUGUGAUUCAAAAAUCUGAUUUUAGGCAUUUCUAUUACUCCCAAGCAAUCUACAAGUCUGAAUGUCUAAUUUCAUUAAGCGCAAAUUUUGUUAUACAGCUGAUUUCUGGUUACACUGACAAUCGAAUUUUAUUGAGAUUCAAGCCUUCAAUAGAAAAGCACCAUCUGGAUUUAACCAUAAAACAUCAUCAAAGUUUGAUUUUCAGGUGUAUUCUUUCCUUACUAAUCACUAUAAUGUUUCAUAAAAAACACUUAUCAAGAGCUGAAAAAAAAACGAAAAAUAGUUGAAGAAUCUAAACUAAAACAAAAGGGUCUUUAGAUAAGUUUAUUAAACUAAAACCAGUCGAUUCUUCUAGUGUGUCAAAUAAACGUGAUGAUACUAAUGUGUCAAAUGAACGUGAUGAUACUAAUUUGUCUAAUGAUUGUGAUGAUACUAAUGUGUCAAAUGAACGUGAUGAUACUAAUGUGUCAAAUGAACGCGAUGAUACUAAUUUGUUUAAUGAUUGUGAUGAUACUAAUUUUAAUCCUUUAGAUAUUUAUCACCCUAGAAAUUGGAAUGUUUUGAUAACAAAACAAUAGAUAUUCUAAUUGAAAAAUGGCUAAUAAGGGAAAUGAAUUUUGUGUUUCCUAAAGAUGCAUUAUCUAGACAUUUCUCUUAUGUUUUUUAUACCCAAAAAUUAAAUAAUGGUGAGACACGAGAUCGGAAAUGGCUAGUUUACUCAAAGUUUUUGGAUAAAGUGUUUUGUUUUUGUUGUAAACUUUUUAAAUCUACUAAUCAAAAAGGUUUUUUUAGCAAAUGAAGGAUAUAAUGACUGGAAACAUCUUAGUGUUCGACUUAAAAAACAUGAAAAUAGUAAUGAACAUUUGACUUGUAUGAGUUCUUGGAAUGAUGCAAAACAAAGAUGGAAUAAAAACCUUACUAUUGAUAAAGAUUUACAACAAGAAAUUUUAAAGGAAAAUAGCGUUGGAGGCAAGUUUUAAGAAGAAUAAUUGUUGUUGUGAAGUAUUUGUCUAACUAUAAUUUGGUUUUUCAAGGUUCAAACACUAAACUUUAUAAAGAUAGUAAUGAAAACUUUUUGGGAGCAAUACAAAUGAUGGUAGAAUUUGAUGAUAUAAUGUAAGAUCAUGUUAGACGCGUAGAAAAUCAAGAAAUUCAUCAUCAUUAUCUUGGCCCCAAAAUUCAAAAUAAACUUAUUUCUCUUUUAGGCCACACGGUUAGAAGUUCUAUCAUUAAAAUAAUUAAAGAAGCUGAAUAUUUUUCUAUCAUUCUUGAUUGUACUCGGGAUGUGAGUCAUCAAGAGCAAAUGACUUUAAUUAUAAGAUGUGUGAAUUUGUCUUCUAACAAAAUACAAGUUGAUGAAUAUUUUUUAGAAUUUUUAAAAGUUGAUAAUACUUUUGGUUUGCGACUUUUUAAUGUGUUAUUAGAUGCAUUAAAAUUGUUAGAUCUUGAUGCGGAUGAUAUAAAUGGUCAAGGUUAUGAUAAUGGGUCUAACAUGAAAAGAACACACCAAGGGUUUCAAAAACAAUUUCUUGAAAUUAAUCCUAGAGCUUUAUAUAUGUCAUGUGUUUUUCAUAGUCUAAACCUUACCGUUUGUGACAUGGCACUUUCUUAUGGUAAAGUUGUUUCUUUUUUUGGUAUUUUCAAUGCUUAUAUUUAUUAUUUUCUAGUUCUACUAAAAGAUGGAAAGUAUUAUUAGAUAAUGUUUCAACUUUAACUAUAAAGUCUUUAUCUAAUACUCAUUGGGAAAGUAGAAUUAAAAAUGUCAAAACUAUUAGAUUCCAAGCUCCUCAAAUACGAUUAGCUUUGCUAGAAUUGGCUAAAUCAUGUGAUGACCCAAAAUCAAAAAGUGAAGCCAAAAGUUUCGUUAAAGCUAUUAAGAGUUUUGAAUUUUUACUUAGUAUGGUUAUUUUGUAUGAAAUUUUAUUUGCUAUUAAUAUGAUAAAUAAAAAAUUGCAAUCUAAAUCUAUUUGUAUUGAUGCCACUAUUAACCAAGUACAAAAUGUAAUGACAUUUUUUUACGAAUUUUAGAAAUGAAGGGUUUGCUUCAAGCAUAAAUAUUGCUAAAACAAUUGCUUUAGAAAUUGGUGUUGAACCUACAUUUCCAUAUAGGCGUAAUGUAACUAUAAACAAACAAUUUGAUGAAAGUGAUAUUGAAGAAGAAGAAAUACAAUCACCAGAAGAGUAUUUUAAGGUUCAUUACUUUUAUGUUGUUGUGGAUGUUGCAGUUGUUUCACUAAAUACUAGAUUUGAACAAUUAAAGUAUUUUGAAAGUAUAUUUGGAUUUUUAUAUGAUUCAAAGAUUUUAAAGUCAUUAGAUGAAAAUAAGCUUAAAGAGUGUUGUAUAAUGUUUGGAAAUACUUUUUCUAAUGACAUUUUUUCUUAUGUGGAUUCAAAUGAUCUUUUUAUCGAAUUAUUUUUUUUGCAAAAGACUCUUCCUAAUGAUAUUAAAUUUGCAGUUGAAAUUUUAGAAUUUGUUAAAGCUGGAGAUUGUUACCCAAAUAUUUUUAUUGCAUAUAGAAUCCUAUUAACUAUUCUUGUAACUGUUGCAUUAGCGGAGAGGAUUUUUUAAAGUUGAAGUUAUUGAAGAAUUACUUAAGGUCGUCGAUGUCACAAGAAAUGUUGAACAACUUGACAGUUCUAUGUAUAGAGAAUGAUAUGGUAGACAAGAUCGAUCUUGAAGAUAUUAUUAAUGAUUUUGCAUCUCAAAAAUUUAGAAGGAGUAUUUUUCUUUAAAAUUUUGGAUUUUUGUAAUGAAAAAUGUUAUAUGUAGUACAAGUAAUUUUUUUUCAAUUAGUGAGUUAUUAUAAAAAUAUUGAUGAAAUUUAUGUAUUAUAAGGGCUUUUUUUUC